UAGGAAGUCUACAAAUCAGGUCUUCUUAAAUACUCCCAUACACAGAGGCCUACAAAACAUUGCGCAUUUCAGGAUAUUGUCCCAUCUACAAAACAAGGAAAUGAGCCAUAGAGAUGCAAAAGAUGCCCUUCACUUCUGCAUGAAUCGAGCACAGGAAGAGGCAAGAGCUAAGAGGAGUUGUUAGCUUCAAUGACCUUGGUACCCAACUUCCCAUUAAAGAGGUACAUAUUUGCAUUAAGUCUGUCUGUCUGUGCACACCCACACGCACCAUUGAGGGACCUUGUUUGCUUUUUACAAAAGGGAGGAGGACCAGGAGUUGAAAAGAACGCUUGCUACUUCUUGUUGCUUCCCUAACACAUACAUCCCAAAGAUCAGCUUGGCUUCUACAUGGUAGUUAAUGCUCAUAAUGUUUAAGGGGCUUUCACAAGGCUCACUGUCAUGUAACAUGUCCAGAACGUGGCCCAUUAUUGACAAAAAUAAGUACAAAAAUAAUUAUACUAUGAAAAAUAGAAAUGAGAAAUACAAAUACCAAAUGGAAAAGAAAUGGCAGGACCAUAAUAUUAUGGACAGAAUCCAGGCCCACUUGUUAGCAAGGGAGUAUUAAGUAAGAUGCUGAGCAAUUUAAAAUGGCAGUUGCAGUUUAGGAGCAUAUGUAUAAGGCUGGUAGGUGAAACAGCAGGUGAUUCUUUCUUUACACAGCACUACUAAGACUACAGCAAUUGUGCUAUGAAAAUGACUCAGGAGCUGAAGUAUAGCAUAAUAAUACUUUGGACACCAUAUGAGAGAGAACACAGAGAGACUGGAGAGUGUAGAAAGUGAGACAUUUAUUGAGGGAAAGGGGGAAAUAUGAAAGUGGUUAACUACCAUGAAAGAGGUGCAUUGCAUAAGCCUUUAAAAAUGCAAGUCCUCCAACCCUUAGGGUUUGGCUUCUCCUUUGUUUAAAUCCUGUAAAAUAAAAUAAAGGGAAAGCUUGUUGAGUGGGAGGAGCUCUUGGG